UGGAGUGCAACAUGCUUGAGUGAAGAAACAGCUUUAACAUGAUGAUUCGAUAGUCCGCACAGCUUAUUAUUCAGAGGCCUAACUCCCUAAUGACGAUACAUCCAAACAACUUCAACUGUUCAACGUCCACGAAGAACUUGAAUUUACUCCACACCAAGGGGAAGUUGGAUCCUCAUUCAGCAUAAGAGGCACAGAAAUAUACGGAAGCUAAAUGCCAACCUUAUCCCAUUCGAAGAUGAAGCCUACUCCAUUCUGGCUUCACAACGAAGCAUUUAAACUAGCAGAGACACAUAAAAACAGAACUUCCAUGUGAAACUAAAAGAAUUCAAUCUAUAAUGCGGUUAAUCAAGCUAGAAACCUAAUUUCUCAAUCUUGUAUCACUUACUAACUAUCCGAGCUAAUCAAGCAAGCCUCCACACCCAACUCCCCCAAGUAAUGAACACCUUUAUAAGAAGAUGGAUCCAAAUUACACUAAAAACCGAGAAUCAGCAUAAGAAAUCGCCAUUGCAAGAUGAGCAACCUCAAUGCCACUUACCGCUACUAUCAUAAGGGCCAUACUCCAUGGAUCACCUUUCUCAGGCAAGAAAAUGCUCUCACGAGAUGAAAUAUGUUCGGACGCACUGAAACCACCUCAAAGGUAAAGAGAGACUCUUUUCGCCAGCUAGAACAAAUCCAGGCCGAAAACGAGAGAUCCGCCACUUCCACAACCACUUUGGUCGAACCAUUGAAGAAAGCGAUCCAUCUUGGGACGGAAGACCAAAUUGGACCGAGAAAUCGAGUCGCGCCGGAGGAAAUCGGUGAGUGCUCGGAAGAUCCGGAGGGAGGGAGAGGAGGGAAGAUGAAGGGGAAAGGGGGGUACCCGUCGGACGCCAAAUGCGAUUUAAAAAGGAGCUUUUUACAGUAAAAUCCGUUUUGAGUUCCGACCGCAUCGAGUGGGCUGCGGGAGUCUCAGCGCGUUAUCGGAUCAUAUUUAAGUGGGGCUCCGAAAGGCCAAAAAUCCGAUAAUUUCGGACUCGGGCCGCCGUUGCUUAGCCCGUACCCGCAAUAAAAUAAACUAAUUGACAAAGGAACGACGUAUGGGCGAUUCAUUGUUCUCAUUGUCAACACAUUUACGUAUGACCUUUUUUUUAGGUACACGAGACUGUGAGAUUAAUCAGUGAAUCCAAAUUUUGAUGAAAGCCUUCAUGAUAUGGAAAGGAGACUGUGGAAUGCAUCUCUUCUUCUGUACCAAAAGAAAUAAAGUGAGGUGUGUGCUGAUGUUUCUUUCAGUCAGGUCAGGUGAGCUCUUCUUCUUCAUGCAUGGAAUUUGGCAUCUUCUCCACAUGCAGAUACAGGUGAGGAAGGCAGCUUUGGUCCACAGCUGACAUUGCCCAAGCUUUGUGCAAGCUUUCCAUGGAAGCUGAUGCCCUCAUUGGAUUUCUCUUCUGCCCAUGUGAACUCGGAAACAUCUCCAUCAAACUAAAUUAACACUGCUGUUCCUGCUGCU
rnacentral:lncRNA from 1 species